AGUCGAACGAAGACAUCUGAGUGCUUGCACUUGGAUGGACUGAGUGGCGGACGGGUGAGUAACGCGUGGGUAACCUGCCUUAUACAGGGGGAUAACAGUUGGAAACGACUGCUAAUACCGCAUAAGCGCACGGUAUCGCAUGAUACAGUGUGAAAAACUCCGGUGGUAUAAGAUGGACCCGCGUCUGAUUAGCUAGUUGGUGAGGUAACGGCCCACCAAGGCGACGAUCAGUAGCCGGCCUGAGAGGGUGAACGGCCACAUUGGGACUGAGACACGGCCCAAACUCCUACGGGAGGCAGCAGUGGGGAAUAUUGCACAAUGGGGGAAACCCUGAUGCAGCGACGCCGCGUGAGUGAUGAAGUAUUUCGGUAUGUAAAACCCUAUCAGCAGGGAAGAUAAUGACGGUACCUGACUAA
rnacentral:rRNA from 1 species